UACGGAGGGGCUAGCGUUGUUCGGAAUUACUGGGCGUAAAGAGCGCGCAGGCGGUCGUGCAAGUCGCGUGUGAAAGCCCCCGGCUCAACUGGGGAGGGUCACGCGAUACUGCUCGACUUGAAGGCAGGAGAGGGAAGUGGAAUUCCCGGUGUAGUGGUGAAAUGCGUAGAUAUCGGGAGGAACACCAGUGGCGAAGGCGACUUCCUGGCCUGUUCUUGACGCUGAGGCGCGAAAGCUAGGGUAGCAAACGGG
rnacentral:rRNA from 1 species